ACACUUAGAGAUCGGGGACAGAUUAUUUUUGGGAGGGGAUACACUACCGUUCAGUCAUCUUCUCCAUUUGAGAAGCUUCAUCCAAACGACCCCCAUAACCAGUCCGUCGACACUCCGCCAAACGACCAGCUCCACCAGUCAGUCCGUCGACCUCUCACUCGUCCGCCAUUGACGAGCAGCUGUCGCUGCUCACCGUCCCAACUACCCUGAAGCUGUCACGACUACUUCACUGUCGUCGCCAAACACACACCCAUAACCUCCGUCGACCAACCCAGCUGCUUCGUCCACCAGUUCGUCGACCAACAACCAGUCGACCACCAGCAGCAAACAAAACGAGCCCCCUCCCUUCUGAACUUCAUCUUAUCCGUCACACAGUUCGCCGGAAACCAGCCCUUCUCCCUCUCUUAAAACACACGCACAGUAGCAGAAACAUGGAGUGGGAAACGGGAAACUAAGGUUCGAGGUUCAGGUCAAUCGCCGGUUAAAAUUUGGGUCCGACGAGGUCAUCCGUUCGUUAGUUCUGGUUCGGGUUCGGUUCGACGAGUCGACGGGAAAGUGAUUGAUUCACUGUUCGUAGUUCUGUAAUCAGUUUGCACAGUAGCCUGUUAGCGUUGGCCAGGUUGGUUAGUUAAGUUUGUAUAGUUAUUUCUUUCUCUUUUUGAAGUUUGACCCAUA
rnacentral:lncRNA from 1 species